AGUGAACGCUGGCGGUAGGCCUAACACAUGCAAGUCGAACGGCAGCACAGUAAGAGCUUGCUCUUACGGGUGGCGAGUGGCGGACGGGUGAGGAAUACAUCGGAAUCUACUUUUUCGUGGGGGAUAACGUAGGGAAACUUACGCUAAUACCGCAUACGACCUACGGGUGAAAGCAGGGGAUCUUCGGACCUUGCGCGAUUGUAUGAGCCGAUGUCGGAUUAGCUAGUUGGCGGGGUAAAGGCCCACCAAGGCGACGCUCCGUAGCUGGUCUGAGAGGAUGAUCAGCCAAACUGGAACGGAGAAACGGUCCAGACUCCAACGGGAGGCAGCAGAGGGGAAUAUUGGAAAAUGGGCGAAAGCCUGAUCCAGCCAUACCGCGUGGGUGAAGAAGGCCUUCGGGUUGUAAAGCCCUUUUGUUGGGAAAGAAAAGCAGCAGGUUAAUACCCCGCUGUUCUGACGGUACCCAAAGAAUAAGCACCGGCUAACUGCGU
rnacentral:rRNA from 1 species